rnacentral:rRNA from 1 species
AUUGAACGCUGGCGGCAUGCCUUACACAUGCAAGUCGAACGGCAGCACGGGAGCAAUCCUGGUGGCGAGUGGCGAACGGGUGAGUAAUAUAUCGGAACGUGCCCAGUCGUGGGGGAUAACGCAGCGAAAGCUGUGCUAAUACCGCAUACGAUCUAUGGAUGAAAGCGGGGGAUCGCAAGACCUCGCCCGAUUGGAGCGGCCGAUAAGAGAUUAGCUAGUUGGUGAGGUAAAGGCUCACCAAGGCGACGAUCUGUAGCUGGUCUGAGAGGACGACCAGCCACACUGGAACUGAGACACGGUCCAGACUCCUACGGGAGGCAGCAGUGGGGAAUUUUGGACAAUGGGCGAAAGCCUGAUCCAGCAAUGCCGCGUGCAGGAUGAAGGCCUUCGGGAUGUAAACUGCUUUUGUACGGAACGAAACGGUGAGCUCUAAUACAGUUUGCUAAUGACGGUACCGUAAGAAUAAGCACCGGCUAACUACGUGCCAGCAGCCGCGGUAA